GUCAUGAAAUGAUAUACCCAAGCUCUUUAAGAUUUGUACUCAUGCACAAGACUCUCUGUGCUGGUGGUUCUGGCUCUGUUUGCAUGUUUGUGUGUGCAGUGGGAAGCAGCCCACAGUGACUGUCCCCAGCAGCAUUUUUUACUUCAAGAUGGAGUAUCCUGGGAAGGACAGUGCUUCCUGCUUCAUGGCCCCACUGAGGAACCAGAGCAUGUGACAAGAGCUGUUCCCUGAGCUGGGCUUUCAUCAGUGACCCCAACACAGGGGCACCAUUAGCAACACAUCCAAGCCUAAGCUGGGGCUCCCCUCAACAAGAAGCACCUGCCUGCUUAUGAACCCUACGACUUACAGCUGCAAGCUGAUCAUCUGUGGUAGGUCAGGUGUGCAGCCACUGGGAUUUGCUGGGGGUGAUUCCCUCCAGGCUGAGGAGCCAUGAGAUUUUGUGUCUGAAUGCAGUUCACACCCUGCUGUUUUCCAGGACAAGUGCACUUGCUGGGACUGGCACUGUGGAUCACGCUCCUCUGGGCUCUCUCCCUUGUCAACAGAGGAAGGGAUUGCUCAGGCUGUAGGUGCUGAAGCUGCAAGGGCCACAUUGUAGGAACUUACCUUCAUACCCAAAAAAGCCAGACUCAGUCUUCCUUUGAAGCCACUGAGAUUUAUCUUCAGUUGUUUCAAGGCAGCCUUGUGUCCCUUAAAAUGGUUUAUUUUGGCCAGCAGGCCUCAUGAAUUCCCUAAAUGGCUCAGAAGCAAACAUGGCCAGUUCUCAGUCCCUAACUAGGCUUGUUCUGCAUCCAUGGCAUACUUAGCACUUCCAAGCAGUCCAUGGAUGCAUUCUGACAAUAGCCUUGUGCUUUUUUGGGGUUUUUUUUGUUUGUUUGUUUUUUUUUUUUUCACAGACAUUGCACUGGGUACAUCUGUUCUCUUCCUUUGUAAAAUGGAUGGAUUUUGCCAACAUUGUAUGACAGCUAGUAAGGUUUCCAAAACAAAAAGAGGAAGAAAAUCUGACAUUUCAUAUUCCACUCUCUCUUCCCUCUUUUGUUGAAACCAGUGAAGUUUUAAAUCAGGUUGUAACACAGAGCUUGGUUCAAAUUGGUUGUGUGAGCAUUGACUCUUCUAGGUGUGAUGAGGUUUUACAAACAUGUUUUAGAGACAGGCCCUGGUGCCUCAGACCUGUUAGUGUCCUCUUCAAGGGGACAAGAGAGAAAAGCUGCCAGGCACAGCUUGAAAUGAAACUGAUACAGCACCAAUAAUGAGGGACUAUAUUUGGAAAGAUUUUUCAGGGUUAUUUUUGUCUGAGAUCAUUACUUCUGGACAGCCUGCUGACAACUGCUGAGCACACAAACACAUCCCACCCUGUGUUUGCUUCUCUCUGCUAAUGUGGAAGUAGGUCACAGGGGGUCAGCAGAGGGAAAGGAUGCUCACACUGGGUUUCCUGCUCUGAUUUUCAAACUGAUCUGUGUUUGUGUGUACAAUACGUGCAACACUUCUUCACUGAAACCAGCAACUGCCCAAAAGACUGUGAGCAAUUCUUCACCAUUUUUCUAAUAAUUCCUGUUGUUACCAUGUGUCCCACUUCCCAUGCACCCUGAUAAACUCCUCCCUGAAGCCACAGCUGGAGCACACCUUCCUUGUCCCUAAAAUCAGUGGGAGCCUUCUCUGUGUCAGCCAGGCAGAGGCAAGGAAUGCUGCCAGCUCUCAGCCCCCUCAGGGAAGGCAGACAGGCCUGAGGGGCAGGAGAACAGUUCCCUAUCCCCUCAGAUCUGCUUGCUGGGCAGAACUUACCUUCUGCCCUCCCACACUGAGCUUGUUGAGGUGAGCACUGCUACAAAAGGAACACACCUCUUCAAAGUUAGUCAAAGCAGCCUGUUUACAGCAGAGCUGGCGUGGGAGUAGGGCUUGUAAAAGCACUGUAGGGGUGAGGUGCUGAUUUAUAGCCAGGUUCCUCAAUGGGAAUCCAUCUCUGAGGGCUCCUGGGGCUCCUCCUUGUCUUGACCUGGGCAGCUUCUGGGUAGGGUCUCUCUGCUGCCAGGUAUUUGCAGCUGAGGUGAGAAAUCAGGAGUCAGAGAGUGUAAAAUGGACUUUAGCAGAUAAGGCAUUCCUGUCAAAUCCAGCUCAACUGCAGAUUUAUUUUUAUUAUUUUAGGAUCUAUAUUCUUGAUAAUUGUAGUUCUGGAAGAGGGAUAGUUACUGCCUGGAGUUGGGCAUUGUAGGCUGGAGGGCAUCAUGCCUCAAUGUGGAAACAUGCACUCUUCAUUAGGACACGAGCCCCUUCAGACCAGGACUUAAAAGAUUCUCUUUAGGGACAUUUUUCAGAGACUUUCAGUUGUCUUUACCUGCUGACAGGCUGUCCUAGGGGAAAGGAGUAAGGGCUGACCUAAAGGCUGAGCAAAUCUGCUGAUUUGAACAACUGUGAAGGAGUAGCUGAUUUCCGUGUUGAUUCCACAGGGACUAAAGUUCUAAUUCAAUUCCUCUUAAUAUAUUGUGGUGGAUUUACCUCAGCUGGACACCUGGUGCAGACCAAAGCUAUUUUAUCACUACCCUCCCACAGCUGGGUAGGAGACAGAAAAUUUAACAAAAGGCUUGUGAAGCAAGGUAAGGAUAGAGAGAUCACUCACCAAUUACCAUCACAGGCAAAACAAACUCAGCUUGGGGAAUUUAAUUUAUUACCGAUCAAAUCAGAGUCGGGUAAGGAAAGUAAACACCUAAAUUUUAAAACCUCUUUCCCCUACUCCUCUCUUCUUCCUGGGCUUAGCUUUAUUUCAGAAUUCUUUACCUCCUUUACCCACUGGUGCAGGUGGAUGGGGAAUGGGGGCUCUGGUCAGUUCAUCAUGACUCAUCUUUGGCCCUCUUUCCUCCCCUCUCACAUAUUCUCACUCCUCUCUUUGGCUGCAGUUGCUGUUGCACUUUUCUUCCCCUUCUCAAUAGUGUUGACACAGACACUUGGACCCAUUGCUUCUAUUGGACACAGGGAAAGCUCCAGCAGCCUCUCACAGAAGCCACCCCUGCAGUCCCCUCCCUGCCACCAAAGCCUUGUCACACAAACCAAACACUUAUGUACUUUUCUAUUUCUUUUAUUUAAUUGCUUUAACUCCUUUUCUUAGCUGUGUUUUUCUUAGCUGAGUAUUAGCCCUUUUCAUAAUAUUUACAAAAACAAAUAGGGCACUGUACCACCUCAGUGAAACACAGCCGCAGCUCUGAUGCUGUUGUAGCUCGGAGGGGGUGAAUAUAGUUUUCCUUAGGCUGGGAGGCAGCAGGUUGCAAAGAACACAAGGAGUAUUUGACCCAAAGUGAAUUAUUCAGAACAGUGCUGAAGUGAACAAGGGGAAAUGGGAGUGAAAAUGAGAACUUCCUAAAUUUGAACUGUCACUUCCUACGAAAACUACCAGACAACUUUUUCCUUUACUCAGUGGAAAGCCUUAUGGAGCUUUCAAACCUUUAAAAAUUUUACAAAACUUUUUAUCCAUAACUUUGUGAGACUUACACUCAAAACUUAGAGUUGACUGCACUAAUUAUGGCACUUAGUCUUUUUCUUUUUCUUAAAAAAAAGAUGACCACAGGGACAGGAAGUUUGCAGAAGUUGAAACACAAGAUAUAAUUAGUGGAACUAACUGUGCCUGGUCUGGCAUGCAGAACAGCAUUGUUGUGGCUGUGUAGUUUGUCUUCAUGUGGCUCAAAAUGCAGCUGCCCUUGGCUUCUGUGAAGGUCAUUUAGACCAGGUGGUAGAGUGGGGCUCCUGCUCAUCAGGGGCACUUGCAGUGUUUCCAUCUUCCUUCCCUCUAAGUGAUUUUGUACAGUAGGAUGUUAAAGGUGGUAUUUCCAGUACCCUCUGCUAAUGUAUCUUAAUGGUAAUAA
ensembl:lncRNA